CGCGGCGUCAUUGGGGAGUAGCCGCUCUUUUCCCAAAGAGGCUUGUGUCAACAUAAUUGAUCCACAGAUCAUGGCAUAAGCAGUCCUUCAUACUGGUAGCAACUAACGGCUUGUUACCUGUCUGACGACCUGGCAAGACCUUUGACCACAACGCCUCCGAAUGGCCGGGGAUGCGUAGUGGUCAUUCGUCUUUAAACCGGCCAGGAUU
rnacentral:sRNA from 2 species